GUCUUUGAAAAAGAGGUGACUUAUCUUUAUCAAAGCCAGCCUCUGUACCUGUCCAUUCCUGUUUCCUUUCAGAGCUUGACCUUUAAAUCAUCCCUCCUCUGCCUCUCAUCUUCAGUCUGCACCAUUGGAGAAACUACCUACAUGGCAGGAUCAAACCAUGUUAUGCCAGUCCUUGAUAUGUUGCUAUGAGGAAAGGAAUCAGAAAUGACUGAUGUACAGCCUGUGGUCACAGAUUUUUCAUCUUCAGGAAGGACAGGUCGUCGGAAUGCCUUACCGGACAUCCGGGGCUCUUCUCCUGGUAGUCCUGGAUCAUCAGAACUGCCUAAAAAGCUAGAAAACCUCAGCUUGUCACAAGAUGAUUCAACAAACAGUGGAGAAAAACGACCGGGCAACAACAGUGUGGAAAAUAAGCCAGAGAUGAACAAAGGAAGCUCGUAAACUCUAGGGAGUGUUAGAUUUAUGUACACAGAGGGAGAUACUAAUGGCCUUAUGGUUCUGCUUUUCCUAAAUCCCAAGAUCUGGUAGUAACAGUAGUGACAACUGCAGGUCUGUGAAUCUACUUACUUAGAUUAUGCACCAAUUUCCACUGUUAGUCAUUCAAAAAGCAAGUGGUCUUCAAUUUGCAGGGGAAAGAAUAUGGAGUUUUUAACAUUUGUCGUUAGGUAUGCUCCCUGAAAUGAAUACAAUUAAAUUGACUUUGAUGUUCUAAAAUAAUGACAAAAUUGUGCUAAAACGACUAAUUUCUUUCUUUUUCCCUCAUUUAAUUUUUAUUGAAGCAAGAAACAGUGACUGAGCUUGGAGUGGGAAGGGGGACAGGUUAUCAGGUUAUUAGGACCACUGUAUUUGGAGGCCCAUCUCUGGAAACACUAUCCAAACGUCAACAAUUUAGCACCCUAUAGCUCUCUCUGAUGGCAUGGCAUAGUGGCUAGAGAGCUCACCAGCCUUGGAGUUAGCAUGACUUAGGUUCAAUUCUGCCUCUGAUACCCACUGACUGUGGGACUUUGGUAAAAUUAUUUAACCUCUCAGUACUACCAGGCAACUCUCUCAAAUUAUAGAUGAGUUUUCCUUCUGCAUUGGUAGAGGUAGUUUCCACACCAGGAGUUCCUCUAUCCCAAUGAAGCCAAUGGUUUAAAGGCUGCCCUCCCUCUCUUUUCACCCCAAAGAAAGAACUAUGUAAAAGGAAUGGGAGGAAAAAAGUAAAAAUUCACAAUAAGGAAAAAUUUCCCCCAACAAUGUACCAGACUUUUUCUUUAACUGUGAUAAUAUUUUGAAAAGCUAUAAACAUUUCAGCAAUUUGCUUAUCUCUGAGCUCUCUUUUAAUCAUUUUUUGCUUAAUAUUAUUCUGUGCGCUGUUUCUGGGUUGGGUUUUUUCCCCAUGUAUCCCUUGAAAGUCAAAAUUUGUAAGCAACUUGACAUUUCAUUGGAACAUUCAAAUUAAAAUCACUGCAUCUCC